rnacentral:rRNA from 1 species
UACAGAGGGGGCAAGCGUUGUUCGGAAUUACUGGGCGUAAAGGGCGCGUAGGCGGCCUGUUAAGUCGGACGUGAAAUCCCCAGGCUUAACCUGGGAACUGCGUCUGAUACUGGUUGGCUUGAAUUCGGGAGAGGGAUGCAGAAUUCCAGGUGUAGCGGUGAAAUGCGUAGAUAUCUGGAGGAAUACCGGUGGCGAAGGCGGCAUCCUGGACCGAGAUUGACACUGAGGAGCGAAAGCCAGGGGAGCAAACGGG